GAUGAACGCUGGCGGUAUGCUUAACACAUGCAAGUCGAACGGUCACUUCGGUGAUAGUGGCGGACGGGUGAGUAACGCGUGAGAAUCUGUCUUCAGGUCGGGGACAACAGUUAGAAAUGACUGCUAAUACCGGAUGUGCCUUUGGGUGAAAGAUUUAUUGCCUGAAAAAGAGCUCGCGUCAGAUUAGCUAGUAGGUGGUGUAAGAGACUACCUAGGCUCCGAUCUGUAGCUGGUCUGAGAGGACGAUCAGCCACACUGGAACUGAGACACGGUCCAGACUCCUACGGGAGGCAGCAGUGGGGAAUUUUCCGCAAUGGGCGAAAGCCUGACGGAGCAAUACCGCGUGAGGGACGAAGGCUUUUGGGUCGUAAACCUCUUUUCUCAAGGAAGAUGAUGACGGUACUUGAGGAAUAAGCAUCGGCUGACUCUGUG
rnacentral:rRNA from 1 species